CACAGUGCUUUUCCAUUAAACACCCUUUUACCCAGAGCUCCAGAGAGUUUGUCAUUAAGAUCCAGCUGUGCCACAUGAUCUGCUGAGCAUCCAACAGAAUUAACUUCAGGCAGAUAACUUUCAAUCCAUGGGAAAUGGACAUCGCCUUUUUGAGGAGACGAUCUCCUUCAAGGGACCCAAAGAAAAGCUCAAGAUUAAGUGGACUAUACUCCUCCUUCCCCAACUAUCACCACUAGUAAAACUCACUGAGGAGAUAGCAAAGGUAAGCUUAAAACUGAAGUGUCAUAAGCAGGGCUAUACAGGUGACCAUGCAGCACCUUGGCACACCAAAUGUGCCUCUGAAAACAACUUCUUCAAGGUUUCCAGCACACAGAAGGAACAUUAUUCAUGGAUACCUGUGGUCAUCAUGGAAAUCUAAGCUAGCAUCAAUUUACUGAUGUUAACAGGCAUCCACAUGGAGAGGCUCUAUUAGCUUGCUACUGCCCCAGGAGGGCCUGAAAAACUCCAGUGGAUGGUUCCUGUAUUGAAAACCAAGGUGAGUGGGAGUCUAUUUAAUGAAAUGAACAAACAAAAUAAAAUAUCAAGGAAAUAGAGAGACUGAAGCAACAUAAUAAGAAAGCAUAAAAUACUGUUAGCUACUAUGCUAUAAAGUAAUAAAUACAAUGGAAUAAUGAUAUAUAGCUGACAGCGCAGAAGCUAUCCAAGCCAAUAUCACCAUUUUCAAGAUUCAAUAAAAAUACAGAAUUUCUGCAACUGAGCAGUAAAGGCAACACGAGUGUCAGACACGCCUGUUCCCCUAACAGCCCAAAAAGAACAGGCUGUGGCCAUCAACCCAGGGAGGGCAGGUGUAAGCCACACAUUUAAUACAUGUCAGAGCUCUCUCCCACUCUCAAAGAACAAGCACUGACUGUCUUCUCAGGGAGCACACCAGAGAAAUGAGAUACAAAUUACUCUUUCAAAAGAAUUCAAGGCUCCGUAAUGUACCUGAAAGCAGGCAACCCAAGAGUGAGGAUUUUUACACAAGGCAAUUUCCCUUCAGAUGCUCAAGACUGUUUCAAAUCAAACCACAUAACGUGAUGAUCAGCUUCAGCAUGGGUGAUGGUACUAUCCAUCAUUCUUUGCUUCCUCCUAAAAAACACCACUCUCCUACAGAGUGAUAGCAGAACAAUUAUCUCCAGUAUUUGGGAGGCACUUUACAUUUUAAAAGCAGCGAACAGAAAAGCACAGUGAAUUCAUACAGAGGGAAUAAAAUAGAUCAGACAUGAGAAGAACACUGAAUUUGGAAAAGCAAUCACAAUGAACAUGAAGUAUUUUUUAUGAAUCAUAAUGGCAUAUGCACUGAGGUGCUUUAAAAUUAUUUCAGUAUACUAGAAGAAUGAAUAAGAUACUCCUCUAUUAACAAUCUACUCUAAAUAAAAAGGUAGCCUAAAUGUAAAAUACAUUUGCUAAGACAACAGUUAUAAAUUUAACUGCCAACAGUAAGGCUAUAAUUUCAAUCAAUUUCAACUUACUAGAAAAGUCUUUGGAGAUAAAAAAUAAUUUAGCAUCAGUAUCAUUUAAAGUGUUCUUCUUUUACAUUAGUUUCAAACUUAUAAAACAAUUUCUAUUAAAAAAUGAAAAUGUUCAGACAGCACAUUGAAUACCUUUUCACCUCAGUUCGGAUACACAGAAGUUUUAUAUAUGAUGUUUACUCACCUGACCUAAAAAAAAUGAAUCUGCUGAUAAAAUUUUAAAAUUGAAACUAUUACAGAAUAUUUAGAUAACAGUCACUGAGACAAGAAUAUUGAAAGCAGAACAAUUAAAGCAGAAGUCUAAAACAUCGUCUAAGAAUGUGGCUCCAAGAUAUUAAGGAUGAGAGAAGCAAACCAUUUAAGCUGCAAAAUUUCUCAGAUAAUCCAAGAAGGUGCUUUUUGCCUUUGAUUCCAACUGACUGUAAAGAUUGCUCAACUCAUUUUAGGACUGAGACGUUGAUACCAAAUGAGGUCUUUCUGCUGUGAUGGUUAUUCACGACAACUGUUUUUGCCGUCUGAUCUAAUAACAUCACUCAUGUUGAAUUUCAAACAGAAGAUACAUCAUGACAUCUUUAGGCUUACUUUGAAAGUAUAGCUCAACCUGGAAAACUAAAAUUACUCUCUAAUAAACCACAAUCACAUUAACUUGUCAGAUGAAAAAUUCAGAAGAAUAAUAGUAACAUAAACAGUUUACUAGUUAACAGGAAGGACCCUCCUUCAAGCAUGCUGGUCAGCAUGUCACUGCAGUGACUGUUCUUACCUAGUCCUAUUCUGUUGGGACUCGUCUCUCGACUGCAUCCCUGGCUCCGAGGAAUCUUGCUGCGCUUCUCUGAAGAUGAUGGCACUGGCUGGACUCUGGAUGUUCCGCCGCUCAGGCCACCAUAGGAGCUUCCUAAGAGCUUACCCGGAGAACUAGACCGGCUACCAGCUAGAAGAGAACCAGAAAUAAGGGCAAAACAAUUAAAACCCCCCAAGAUUUUAAGCACACUGAUGGCAAAACUGGAACACAAUCAGCUCUAUAUAAAAAUACGAUCCAAAUCACUCAACAAACUAAUGGGAGUGUUCCCUAUGGGCUUGCAAGGAAGACUGAGGAAAGCCCAUAGACAAUAAACAUGGACAUCAGCAACUCUGCCUCUAUGAACUGUGCUUCCCACUGGGGAUCAAGCCCAGACAUUGCUGCAUUUGAACACCCCAGCUGGCUUUACGAGAGCUUGUGGAGGUGCCGGGACAGCCCUGUUGCAGCAAUACGGAAUUCACAGCCUGCUUGUACUCCUCACAAAGCAACACCAACGAGCCUGUGUGGAGAGCUGUGCUGCAGCUGCCGGCUUCUGGCACAGGUCACCUGCUGCAAAGGAGCUCAGGCAUCUUCAUUCUACACUGAGGUGGUGGCACUACUUUCCUACAAUAAUUCAGUGAAGGAAAAUAAAAAAAAAAAAAAACCCCAACAAAAUCCAACCAACAUAAAAACCCCAUCACAUCUGAAGAGAUCAGCACAAUAAGGGUAAACCACGUGAGCCUGUCACAUUUGUAGAGAUGAUGGCUUAAUUAGGUCUGGUUGGUUAAAUCUAAGCUAUUAAUUCUUCAGAUGAAGAAAAUUUUUAGCAAGUCGAAUAGUUGGCCUGUUUUAUCUUUUCUUCUCUGUUUGAAUAGUCCAUAGCAAGUUUACAUUUCUUCUAAGCCUUGUUGUCUGCAAGAGAGUCUACUAACCAAGAUUAAUUUACAUAUUUACAUUCCAGCUGCAGUAGAUAUCUCUAUCUGAAACACUUUUGCUGUCUAAUUUAAUGAGAUGACUGAUAAUUUCUUUUUUUCCCCUCUGGGUCUUCAUUUGCUAAGUUGUUUGAAAAUUAAGUAAUGCUAGCUUAAAGGUAAUCAUAAAGAAGUAAUACUCUAAGAGUAAUAGAUUCAAGACUAUUUUUUUUUUUUUUGCUUCUUCAGGUAUAUAGAGUCCCUGAAAAUCUGCUGUUGCCAUUACCAUUCCUGACAUUCAAUUUAUUUGCUAAAACAGCCAGGAAAAGUAUACUUGAAAAGGUUGCAAGAACAUACUCAGGCAAGCUCACAUUUUGAAUUGAUACUCAUGUUGGUUUCUCUCUGAAAAGUACCUAGGCAUCUCACAAAAAUUUCAUUUCCAGAUACUAUUAGUACUAGCAAGAGUUAAAGACUGUUCUCCUGUCUUAAUUUAAGAAGAUAUGCAAUUCUGUUAGUCUCAUGGACAAUGCCAUAACACAUGUAUUAUACACUUACUCGUCCCCUCCAAUUUCUCAAUCAAAGCCAUUCUGAAUCAAUUAAAUAUACUCCAAUACUGUGUGUGGUGCUGGCUCCAUUCUCCCCACCCCCAAAGUGACAGAUGCCAGUCUUACACAGAGCACCACAACCUAAAACCAAGACUCUUCUCAGGUACACUGCUGCGAUCUCACUGAUGUCAGCAGGGUUGCACUGAAGUAACUGGAAAAAGAAUUUAGCACCUGGGGUUUUAAGCUGCAGCAGUGAGAGUGCUUCAAUGUGCAGAACGUAUGCUUAGCAUGUUUGAUUACUGGGAGAAAGUAAAGUCACCUGCCAUACACAUUUUGACUUAUGACUUUAAGAAAAUGCUUUUUAAGUCUCACGGUUAGGAGAGAAUGAGGGACACUAAAAGCUUAGCAGUUAAAAAAUGUGAAGGAAAUAACAUGAGAAAGCAAGAAAGGGAAAACAUUUCUUACCACCAGCAGGAUUAGCUGAUCUCGAUCCUUGAUUAUGAGGGCAGACCAAGGGACAGGCAAAAAGUGGAUUAAAAGACAGCAAGACAAUACUGCGUUCAGCAUGCGGUUUAUGCUAUACACAAUACAGACAGAUUUAUUUACAAACAUGUCACUCCUAAAGCCUCUGCAGAAUGCAGUGGGUUAAUGUGCAGAUGCAACUAAAUUUCCCAAGGUUGAUCAGCUACUUAGUAAAAUGUCAACCAAGACACUGAGACUCAAGUUCUGCUCUAAAUUACACCCCAGCCCAGUCUGAAAAAUUUCAGCAUGGUUACCCACUGUGUGGGCAUGAAGAAUUUGGUCCUGUGACUUAUAUUUGAAUUCAUAAAUUAUUUCAAGCAACUUGGCUUAAGGAUAAAGAACACAUCUGAUUGGGCUAGGCUGGAAAUGGGAUUCAGCAAACUAGACCAAGGCAGCAAGUUCAGAUAUGACCAUCCUAAAUUUUCAUAAGGCAUUCUAUAAAAAAAAAAGUAAGUUCAUAAUAACUGAAACCUUCGGAUAUUUAACUAUUCUUUAAAUACUUCUGAGACUUGUCUCAUGCGGUCUGACCAUUGUUCACCAAACUAAGUUUAGGAAAAAAAGGGUAAUUUCUGGAUUUAGAUCAGUUUUAGGUUCAAAACUUAAUCAAUUUAUAUCAGCAUACCUAAGCCCAAAUAUAUCUUCGAGAGCCCAAUGUAAAGAUUUUCAUUUGGCCCUAUUCUCAACAUACUACUACUUUCUUCAGCUCUCUCAGCUUAACACAAGGCUACAAACUGCUUCUUCACCUCUCCAGCAUGACAGAGCAAAGCAAUGAGAGAAUGAACAGAGAAGGGCUUUUAAAUAAGGGUACAAAGCAAGACGAGUCCUCAGAACAGACAGAUCCUUCAACAAACCCCAUGUCCUCUUAACCCACAAGACUGAAGGUCCUCAAAACAGGGACUAGCCUUCUUCCUACCCCCAAUUCCUUUUAAAGUUUGAGUGACAAAAUUCUCCUUAGAUGCACAUGACAAACAUGCAGCAGCACCAUAUGUGUGGCUCCUAGGGGAAAGUCAUGCCUUGCCAGGAAGCCAGAGAGCGCAGAUGUGUCAUGUGAAUCAAAGCAGAACCCUUUUCCCCAUAUCUACACAAAAUAGGUAAUGUCCUAUUUUAAACUGAUGCCAAAUCCCAUUAAUUUUAGACAGCUCACGUGUCACACAUACAGAAAUAGAGUCACAUAAGCGGGAGAAGCUUGGCAGAGCAAGACCCCAGGACAGCAGUCAGCUACAGCCACAGGGGGUGUCUCAGCAGGACUCAGUGCCAGCUAUUUAGUUCUACAGAUGACAGUGACAUGAGAUUCUGCUGCACAACCAGUAAAUAAUGGUAGCAACUUAGCACUCGGAUUUGGGGCCCUCUCUGUCAGCAGGAGCACACACUGCCUACAUGGGGAUUCAUUUUAUUACAUGUCCAAACACUAUUAUCAGAAGUGAGCCCAAUUCUCAGCUGACGUUACUGCAGUUCAAGAGAAACGUAUUAAUAACUAUUUGUUCUGCUCCCCCAGGAAUAAAACAAUUCUUACGCUGGGACUGGGAAACUACUUUAGCCCGGCUGCGGCCUCGAGUAUCAGCAGGCGUCGAGGUGACACUUGUGGCACUGCCAGAGCUCUGUCUCCUCGUACGGAUCCGACCUGGAGGAAUGCAAAGACAAUCACACUGUUAAUAAAAGGCAGCAGCAGUGUCUAACACACUCUACACACAAUUACCCAGGGUAUACAAAAGAUUUUAUAGGAAGAGGCAACACCUUUUAUUGGGCUGGCUGAGACGCAGGGGAGGGAAUGGAAACAGCCACAGUCCAUGAGUCCAAAACCUUCUUUGCUCUCGGUAAUGCUAUCAGUCAGUUUAAUUAAAAAAUAUUACCUCUCUAUAGCCUUUGUUUCUGUUCUAUAGUAGCUUCUUUAUAAAGGAUCAACAACAAAAAAUGUCAACCUCCUCAAUGCAGCUUCCUAUAUCAAAUUAUUACUUUCUGAGAAGGUGAUCACACUUUCAGAGACAGGUGUGACAGAUGCCCUCCCAAAUUCCAUCACUGGGAUUUCCAGCUAGCUGUUUGGUGCUUUAUAUCCUGCUCCCCCUGCACAGGAUGGCAUGCACUCCUGCGACACUGUCAAUGCAGUCUGACCAUGCUUUUAUUUCAGGCUCAUUGAAUUUUCCCUGUUUACAGAUCCCUCAUAUUUAUCCAGAGAUCAGUGUAACUUGACUUGUAAUGGAGAGUCCCAUUUAACACAAUCAAUGUUGUGGAAAAAUGAUUCUGUGUGCCUUCUCUUUAUUUAAGCAGAGAAAGGGUAUAAAGUGUUCUUGGUCCUUUUUCGGUCCUUUCCUCAUGAAAAAGCCACAGACAUUUGAGCUAGGAAAGCUUACAGGGUCAUCAGUUCACCCCCUUCCUGGGGCAGGGCCGUUUCCUACAGAACAUUCUUUCCAGUGCUAAGCUUCAAUUAUCUGUCUCUAGUUAAUGGGAAAGAAAUGAUAAUUAAGAGUAACACAAAGAAAGCCUCCAUCAGUACUUUUCAACACGUCCGUUCCCAGCCAAAUCUGAAGUUGUUUCUCAGGACUCAUGCCAGUGCUAUCCUGCAUUCAGAGGAUGAUUUCAAGUUUCAGGCACAAUAACAAAAGAGAAAAAACCCAUAUCAGGUAAGGGAAGAGUCUAGACAACUGCACCCACUGGUUACAGAUAUUCAUCUCCUGCCCUCUUGUCUCUACCAUAAGCAUACAGAGAAAUAUGAACCGGGAGACACACAUUUCCCACCCAAAAAAACCCAACUUCACAUAAGGUACACAUGCAGGACAAGACAAUGGCAAGCAGCCCAGGCUGAACAAUUGGGAGCUACAUUCUUCUGUGAGCUCUCAAAAUAUUCAUAACAUGGUCUGCAAGUUUCUGCUAGACACAAAGAGACAAGGAGAUGCUUAACUUUGAGAAGAAAGGCUAAACUUGUCCACAAGGGAAAAAGCCUACAAGACAGCUCUACUUCAAAUCUCUUCACCAGCACCUAGUUUUAAAACAGCUCAGUAGGCAAAAUACAGGCAUGUACAUUCAAACAACUGCUUAUAAAUGAGACACAGAAGAAAUCAUUAGCAUACAACUCAGAAAACACAAACAAAACUUUUUAAUCACCGGCUUAACUAAACAAGCUCUGAGCACGUCCACAUGGGUCCAGCAGUCACCAAACUGGCUGCUGGGGUCUUACCACCAGCAAGGCUGCAGUUCUCCUCUACUCUAGGACAGUCUUGCCUUUUACAGUCAGCCUGAUACACAAUCAGAGGCAGCCCUAGAGCUUUCUGCCGGCUCACUCCCAUCCUGUGCAAGUUUGGCACAGCAUAGCUACACACAGAUGAGCAGAGUCACCCUGUGACUCGUUAACAAGGCAUGGACCCCAAACCCCACCAUGGGCUUUGAGGAAGAAUUGCUUAGGGAAGGAGGCAGACAGAUGUCACACUCUUGUCAGAAGCCUCAAGACUUCCCCUCAUUUCUCACAUCAAGAGGGCAUCGCAGUAAGACAAGAAGUUUAACCUGACCAGUCUUAGGAACCAGUAAUGGAAUUCACUCACAUCCUUCCAGAAUGCCAACAGGAGGCCUUGGCAUUACAGGAAGUCCUGGGGGGUAACUCAAGCUGAAAUUCACUUUUACACACAACAGCAGACAUUACUGGAAGACAUGUUCAGUGAUAUGUAUGGGCCAAGAAAGGGUGAGAAGAUACUGAUGUCUCCUCUUAUGCACAGACCACUUAAGAUCCUCAAAAUUUUCUGGAUUUUUCUGCAUCUACAAAAAAGUUUAUUUUUUUUGGUCUCCAUCAGUAGGUGACUAAGAAGGAGAAAACUGGGACAAUAUGUAUUCCACCUUAAGAAAUACAAAGCCUAAAAAAAUCGAUAAAGAGAAACCAAGAUUAGCUUCUGAUAACAAUUCUAGAGGCUUUAAAAAAGAAAACUGAACUGAAGGGUCAAACUUAAUUAACAUGUGAUUAUCAGCAGGAUUAGAAACAGAGAACUCAAGUCCUAUUCUGAAACCCUUGAGAGUUAGUGGACAGAUUCCUACCAACUUCAGCAGUUUCUGAAUGAAUAAAUGCCCAGGAACAAAAUUCUGCUUCCUUUUGGAAUGAUAGAUUUGCACACUGAUUUUGGGCUAAUGGGUGUCAGAGAGAACGAUGUGGGACAAGGAGUUGCUCUCCCACAGGAGGAACAGAGUGCCAACACUGAUACUGGUUUUCUCAUCCUUUCAGACACUGCACUGGACUUGCAUUGUGCAAACAGAUUUUCACAUAUAUUAUACCAAGUACAGCAUGCAUAUAUUGUAGUUGCAAUAUGUAGAUAUAAAUGUGUCUGCUACAUUUCCCUAAGAAUUUCAUGUGCAAACAAGAGUCUGCAUUUACACCCAAGAGUUAUUUGCACAUAGAACUAUGCGUGUGGCUUUAUCUCUAUCAUUCUAACCCAGACAGAAAAACUAAUUUCAAGCAGGACUGGAAAAAACAUAUCAAGUAAGUUAUUUAGACUUUGCUAUUGUUGUUUAACUCAAGCAAACACCUCCCCUCCCAAAACUUCUAUGCUUUCAAGUGGGUUUGUCUCCAUAUCCAGCUCAAACUGCAGAUGUAGCAAUCCAUAUUUCAUAAUCAUUUUUCUGCUGCUUUUAAAAGCAUUACUGCAUCCUGACAACAGCAGCACAGCAAAGGAACAGAUAAAGACUGCCCCAACUAGUUUCCAAAAACCAUAAAAGUAUUUCCAUAAAAGAGCCCUUGAUCUAAAUUUGAUACGUGACAUAUUGGUUGGUACAGAAAGGAUUUUGAAAGACUCCAUGCAAAUGCUUUGUGUUAAGAAACCAUUUGUGGAUUUUUUAGGAGGUUUUGGUUUUAUUUCUUGAAGUUACUGUCAUUUUUACAACAAUGGUUCAGAAUCAACCCUGAAAUGUCUAACAUAUGUUAAAACCCAGGAAGGUUGUCUUGGUUUUUUUUUUAAAAGGAACAAGUGAAGUAAGAUUCUAUGAUAACAUUUGUGCUUUACAAGAGGCUUCACCUGACAGCAUUGCUCUGAGCUCUUCUGAGUGGACACUGCACCAUCCCCAUUCCUCAGAACAGACAUGGGCUUUGUGACAUUACACAAUUUGUGUAAUGCACAGCCUGUGCAUUACACUGAAGAAAAUGGCUUUCAAAUAGUCUAGAAAUGGUGUUAUAGCUCUGCAACUCAGUUUAAUCAAUUCUGUGUGUGAAUAGUGAUACCUACAACCACACAAGUUACAUAUGGAAGCACUGGGAUGAUAAUGGUCUCUCCACGGAUCAGGUUAAAGCAUUUAGGGUACCCAGAACUGGGUUUUUGCCCCACUUGCAGAAAAACAUUACUGAAAGAACCUCUAGUACCCCCUAUAUGUAUCGCUGCUAAAUGUCACAUGGACAUCUGAGACACAGAUCAAUUAAAAACAUGCUUUACAUAUAAAUCUGUAAACAACUUUCUACAACUACCAUUGGAAUGGUUACCAUGCAUAUUCAGCACUUGUCCAACAUUAUAUUAGUGUAAGACCUGACUCUGCACCACAAUUUUCCCCAAGAAGGAACUGAUUCUUACUGGAAAGCAUCAGAUUAUGCCAUCUCUAGGUUUUGCACAAGAACUCCCUCCAAAGCAGAGGACUCAGUAAACAACAGUUGCUCCACUUUGCCCUACACAAAUAAGCACGGGCAAAUCAACUCAGCACUUGCAAAGGGAUGGACCAAGAGAAGUAAGAAACCUGCUACCUGAGCAGUACCACGGUCAGUCACCACUUUGAAAGAAGCCUUGCCCUUGAGGACAAGGGAGAGCUUUAAGGCAGAGAAGAAAUCAGGAAUGGUGAUUUCUUUAAACUUGUGUUACUCCCAAAGCCUUUGAUAAUGCACUCAAGGUGUCCAACUGAGCCUAAGUUAUCUGAAAAUUAUAAUGAAGCACAUUUUAUUGCCUUUGUGGUGAAUAAUAAAAACUAUUGAAAAUUGUGCCACUGACUGUAGAAACCGCUGAUUUUGUUUUAAACUUGCCAGUUUCAGGUCAAACCAGCAUUUAUGUUUCUCCCUUUAGGGAAAGGCUUGACUUUAU